UUGAGCCGUGUGCGGUGUAAGUCGCACGCACGGUUCUUAGGGGAGGGGGAGUCAGCGAUGGCUCCUCCUUACCCGAC
rfam:Leptolyngbya sp. Heron Island J, whole genome shotgun sequence.